rnacentral:rRNA from 1 species
CAGUAGCCGCGGGAAUACGUAGGUGGCAAGCGUUGUCCGGAAUUAUUGGGCGUAAAGGGCCCGCAGGCGGUUUCUUAAGUCUGAUGUGAAAGCCCCCGGCUCAACCGGGGAGGGUCAUUGGAAACUGGGAAACUUGAGUGCAGAAGAGGAGAGUGGAAUUCUACGUGUAGCGGUGAAAUGCGUAGAGAUGUGGAGGAACACCAGUGGCGAAGGCGACUCUCUGGUCUGUAACUGACGCUGAGGAGCGAAAGCGUGGGGAGCGAACAGGAUUAGAUACCCCCGUAGUCCCUGUCUCUUAUAC